UACGGAGGGGGCUAGCGUUGUUCGGAAUUACUGGGCGUAAAGCGCACGUAGGCGGCUUUGUAAGUUAGAGGUGAAAGCCCGGGGCUCAACUCCGGAAUUGCCUUUAAGACUGCAUCGCUAGAACGUCGGAGAGGUAAGUGGAAUUCCGAGUGUAGAGGUGAAAUUCGUAGAUAUUCGGAAGAACACCAGUGGCGAAGGCGACUUACUGGACGGCCGUUGACGCUGAGGUGCGAAAGCGUGGGGAGCAAACAGG
rnacentral:rRNA from 1 species